rnacentral:rRNA from 1 species
UCGCACCUACCGAUUGAAUGGUCCGGUGAACCCUUUGGACCGAGAGCGCCUCGUGUGCUUUUGGAAAGUCGAGUAAACCACAUCACUUAGAGGAAGGAA